GUGGGGAGGUCCUUACUAAUUAGUUAAUUCAUCAAUAAAGUGCAAGGGAAGAGCGAAAAACCCGCAGACACUCUGGCCUCUGUGGAAUGAGUUUUACACCUGCGCUCUAAUCCAAAGAGUAGUCCCAGUGUCGCGAAAUGCAUGUCCCCGAAGCAAGUUUUGGAAAAUGUAGUGCUCAAGCAUUUUAUUCACAAAUAAUUCCAUCACUGCUGUCAGUUUAAAAACUACAACUCCCAACGUCAUUAAUACGGCGGCAAUGUAUUUUCCUGUUCUUGGCGGCCAGUUCAAGUUGACUUAUCAGAGAGGAAUUGUUUGAGUGUAGAAAAUAAAAAAAAAUAGAUAACUGCACAAUUCUUCUUCAGCGCAUGCCUCUGUUUCGAGCUAAAAUCAAGAUCAAGGUCAUGGGGAAGGGAUGCAACCCUCAAACUGUGAGGUCCUGAUGCUGCAGGCAUCUCAGAGAAAAUGAACCCACUGGGAAGCACUACUGGUAGGCUAGCCAGCUAACUUUGAGAAAACAAGAAGAAGAAAUGACUAGAAAUGUUCUGGUUCAUUAAGAAAGCUACACUUAGAUAUGUGUUUUUGGUUGUUGAGUCAAUUAGACCCAUUUCAAGCUGGUCUUCCCUCUCCGUCUCUCUCCCUCGCAGCUAAGAGGCCAGAGGCUGGUCCUCUGGAGCCCAUAGGGUGUCAGCCUCCUCCCUGCACACCAGCGACCUGGAGGCUGGCUAUGGAUCAGGUCCACGUCCUGCACCAGUCAUUCAGAGACCUGCACAGUGACCAGCUGAGACUGGGAGAUGACAUGGACAGAGAUCC
rnacentral:lncRNA from 13 species